AUGCAUCUGCUUACUCUUGUACUUGUAUCCCCCAAUCUCUUCAUCUCUUGGUUGUUAGUAACUAGAAUGCUUAUAUAUUUGAACCUUGCAGUGAAGAAUGAGAGCAGAAAUGUGCACUGCCAAAGGGGAAAUCAGAAAAUAAAUGGGCAAGCCUCCAGACCACAGAAGCCAUCAGCAAAACUGCCAGUUCAGAGCUUCUUCUUUAUGAAGUUAUCCAGAGACACAGCAACAAAAUUUAGAGUGCAAGGUAUUUGAGUUCGAAGAGAAGGAGGUCCAGGUAAGAGGUGAUAAAGUAUGAGUAAAGAAUAGUACACAUAAGUCAAUAAUUUAUCAGAUACACACACACACACACACACCCCUCUACCUUUCCAUUCUGUAAGAGUUAUUAUAUUUGAAAGGGUUUAGGUUUAUGAAUGUCUACACACUAAUAGCUAAUCAGGUAAAGAAUGAUAGAUAAGAGAACGGUCCAUAGGAAGCAGUAGUAAAAAUGCAAUUCUUAUAAUAUUCAAUAUAAGCAUAUGCACUGGCAGGUGUUUCCUUUUCUACCCCUCACUGUGUUAACACUGAACAAAUGUAAACGGUAUCAUUUUAUUUCCUCAACUAUAAGAUAGGAAGGUUAAAAGAUUUCAACUUAAAGGUCCCGUCCAACUCUAAACUUAAUAAUUUGGCAUUUUCUUGGAAAUGUGUGGAAAUAAAAUCAUAAUGAAUCCUAGAACUUAGUAUUAUAAAUAAUAAUCAGAUUAUUAUUAUGGUUAAAUAGUAUUCCUGUGAUUUAGGUGUAUUCACAAACUGGUGGCAGUAAUGUGUUUGUAGCCAUGCAAUACAAGUAAAAAAAUAUAACUGAGUUGCAUUUGAUAAAGGGAUGCCUAUAUUUUGAUAAAGGGAUGACUUCAUUUUAUUAAUGGCUAUAUAACUCCACAUUAAAGAAAGUCCAUCACAUUCAACAGUAAGGAACAACCUGGAACUGUUCUCACUGAUUAUCACAUUUUGUUUUAUCCAGUAAAUGUGGGUUGAUGUUUAAAGUUUGGCUGAGAGGAUGUCCUAAAUCUUUAAUAUCACUUAGUGUAAAAUUGCCUGUGAUUAUCAGUUUGAAACAUUUUAUUUUCUGCCUUAGAUACAGUCAGUCCAUUAAUUUAGAAAUCUCCCAGAUAUUCCUUUAGGUAUAUGCUUUGAAUCCUGUCUCCUAUAUUAGGAAGCUACGAAACCUCCCAAUAGGCACACGAUGAGUGAGGGUCUUAUCUUUGAACAUUGUUGCUUCCAGUCUUUGGCUUUCCAUUAGCGUUCAAGAGUUCUGGAAAACAUCCUCUUGAAAUACUUAGAUCUCAUCAUGGUUCUUAAGGUCCCAGCUCUGGACCAGAGCCUCAGUGCAGACUGUCUCCCCACCUAAACCACUACAAACAUUACCUUAUCCUAGCCUCUAUCCAUGGAAACAAGCUAAUGUUGGUCAAAGAUCAUUAUUCUCACUUUGGAAGAAUUUACUCUAAUGCUUAAUUUCUCAUCAUAUUGAUCAAGAAAAUAGUUUGGGGACUCUUCACAUGCUAUCCUCUGAUUAAAUUUUCUCUUUAAUUCUUGUUCUUUCUCUGCUAUUACUGCUUUGUUUUCUUUAUUUUUAAAACUUCACUCAGUAUCACACCUCAUUUCUCUUCUGUCUGCCCCAGAGCUAUUUUCUCUAGAGAGCACUAUCAGUUUUUGUCUAUUUCUCACAGCCAUUAAAUCUUAUUACCUAUAACUUUUCCCCUUACACCUACAUUUUUCUUUCAAGUGAAACAAGAUCUUUUAUUUGAAAACUUCCCCAUUGUUUCAAUUUUAAAACAUCUGAGGAUUUAGAAUAUCACAAAGAUGAUCAUAAAGUAAGGUUUGCGUUAGGAUUUUUCUAUUUUAGAUAUUUGAUUUCAUAAGAAUAUUAAAUUAUAUGCAUAUAUUUUUAAUUGUAGAGAAUGAGGAAUAUUUGUAAAAUUAGAUGCAUUUUUUGCAAUUUAUAAAAAGAAAUUUGAACAUUGGAGUAAAGCACAGGUGGCAUAUUCAAAUUAGCAGAUAUCUUUAAUUUUAAAAAAGAAGAUAGAAAUAUUUAUAAGAAUUUUUUCAAUUCAUUUGAUUCUCUUCCAGGCUACCAAAUUAAACUAUCCUGAAUAUCAUCACAUAUCAAUUUACAGAGCUUUGCUUCUACAGCACGAAAUUACUUCCUCCAUUUCUUUGAUAUCCUGGUUUUGAAUAAUUCACUAUGGCUUGUUGCUUCUAGCCCUAUUCAAAAGUCUUUUCAAGUUCCAAAAAGGUUUUCUUAAUUUUAGAAGGUCCAUAUGUUUAGCUUCUGUUAAUAAGUGCUCUCUGGAGGCAUAGUUAGAUGGAUAUGAAAAAUCUGCCAGUGGAUGAGGUAUAUUCUUUGACAUAUUUUUAAAUGUCUCAGGGAAAUUAAAGAUCAAAAUUACAAAUUACAAAUUUUAUUGUUUAUAUUUGAGUUUUACAAAAUGAUGUUAUGGGAUACAUAUAGAUAGCAAAAGGGUUACUAUAGUGAAGAAGAUUAACAUAUCUAUCAUCUCACAUAAUUACUUUUUUUGUGACAAGAGCAGCAAAAUCUACUUGUUUAACCAAAAUUCCAAGCAUAACACAA
ensembl:lncRNA